rnacentral:lncRNA from 1 species
AGACUCCUUCAUCUCCAAAUAUUUGCUUUUCUUUCAACAUUUCAGGAGUCCAAACACCAUCAGUUUAUUGUCACAAAAACUUGACAAUGUUAAAUUUUUGCUGCUGACAGCACGAGCCAGGAAAGGAACGUAGAUGAUUUACUCUACCAUGCCAAGAAUCAUUACUCAGCAAGAUCUCUUCCUUUAAUUUCUGACAAGACCAGAAGACAUUAAACAGGUCAGAUACUCCUUGCCUGGGCAGAAGCUGGACCUGACCCUGGAGACAUUCUGUUUGCUUGGCUAUCAGGGCAGUGUGAUAGCUUGGCAUCAUGGCUCUCAGCAGCUGCUGACAAAACCAGCUGUGACACAGCAGUUCUGCCCAGUGAGUCAUUUGUAUGUUGUAUCACACACUCUUCUAUUGCUUAUUGAACUC